rnacentral:rRNA from 1 species
UACGUAGGGUGCGAGCGUUGUCCGGAAUUACUGGGCGUAAAGAGCUCGUAGGUGGUUUGUCGCGUUGUUCGUGAAAGCCCAGGGCUUAACCCUGGAAGUGCCCCGGAAACGGUGAGACUGGAGUCCUGGAGAGGGUCGUGGAAUUCCCGGUGUAGCGGUGAAAUGCGUAGAGAUCGGGAGGAACACCAGAGGCGAAGGCGGCGACCUGGACAGGUACUGACACUCAACUACGAAAGCGUGGGGAGCAAACAGG